UCUGGCAGUGAUGAGCCACUUGCCCUCUCUGAGAACAGAGUUCGGUAAUGAGACUCUACUCUGGACUCAAGUUCUGAGCCAGA
ensembl:snoRNA